rnacentral:rRNA from 1 species
AACGAACGCUGGCGGCAGGCUUAACACAUGCAAGUCGAGCGCCCCGCAAGGGGAGCGGCAGACGGGUGAGUAACGCGUGGGAACGUACCCUUUGCUACGGAAUAGCUCCGGGAAACUGGAAUUAAUACCGUAUGUGCCCUACGGGGGAAAGAUUUAUCGGCAAAGGAUCGGCCCGCGUUGGAUUAGCUAGUUGGUGGGGUAAUGGCCUACCAAGGCGACGAUCCAUAGCUGGUCUGAGAGGAUGAUCAGCCACAUUGGGACGGAGACACGGCCCAAACUCCUACGGGAGGCAGCAGUGGGGAAUAUUGGACAAUGGGCGCAAGCCUGAUCCAGCCGUGCCGCGUGAGUGAUGAAGGCCUUAGGGUUGUAAAGCUCUUUCACCGGAGAAGAUAAUGACGGUAUCCGGAGAAGAAGCCCCGGCUAACUUCGUGCCAGCAGCCGCCGUAACAC